GAUGUGUGAGUUAAAAGCUCGUAGUUGACUUCUGAGAUUGAAGAUGCCUGACUUAUGUCUGCAUUUUUGAUUUCAUCCGUCUGCAAACUAAGCUUGACCUUAACUGGUUCGACUUAGGGAGUAGACAUUUUACUUUGAAAAAAUUAGAGUGCUCAAGGCAGGUACUGGCCUGAAUACUUUAGCAUGGAAUAAUGGAAUAGGACUCAGGUCCAUUUGGUUGGCUAUUGGAACUGGGUAAUGAUUAUAGGGACAGUUGGGGGCAUUAGUAUUAAUUGGAAGAGGCGAAAUCACGGAUUUAUAAAAGACUAAUUAGGCGAAGCAUU
rnacentral:rRNA from 1 species